rnacentral:misc_RNA from 1 species
GAUGAAGAACGUAGUGAAAUGCGAUAAGUAAUGUGAAUUGCAGAAUUCAGUGAAUCAUCGAAUCUUUGAACGCACAUUGCGCCCGCCAGUAUUCUGGCGGGCAUGCCUGUUCGAGCGUCAUUUCAACCCUCAGGCCCCCAGUGCCUGGUGUUGGGGAUCGGCCCAGCCUUCCUGUAAGGCCGCCGGCCCCGAAAUCUAGUGGCGGUCUCGCUGUAGUCCUCCUCUGCGUAGUAGCACAACCUCGCAGUUGGAACGCGGAGGUGGCCAUGCCGUUAAACACCCCACUUCUGAAAGUUGACCUCGGAUCAGGUAGGAAUACCCGCUGAACUUAAGCAUAUCAAUAAGCGGAGGA